rnacentral:rRNA from 1 species
UACGUAGGGGGCAAGCGUUAUCCGGAUUUACUGGGUGUAAAGGGUGCGUAGACGGUAUGGCAAGUCUGAAGUGAAAGGCGUGGGCUCAACCCAUGGACUGCUUUGGAAACUGUCAGACUAGAGUACAGGAGGGGUAAGCGGAAUUCCCAGUGUAGCGGUGAAAUGCUUAGAUAUUGGGAGGAACACCGGCGGCGAAGGCGGCUUACUGGACUGUAACUGACGUUGAGGCACGAAAGCGUGGGGAG